rnacentral:rRNA from 1 species
UACGAAGGGGGCUAGCGUUGCUCGGAAUCACUGGGCGUAAAGCGCACGUAGGCGGGUCGUUAAGUCGGGGGUGAAAUCCUGGAGCUCAACUCCAGAACUGCCUUCGAUACUGGCGAUCUUGAGUUUGGGAGAGGUGAGUGGAACUCCGAGUGUAGAGGUGAAAUUCGUAGAUAUUCGGAAGAACACCAGUGGCGAAGGCGGCUCACUGGCCCGGUACUGACGCUGAGGUGCGAAAGCGUGGGGAGCAAACAGG